rnacentral:rRNA from 1 species
AGCGAACGCUGGCGGCAGGCCUAACACAUGCAAGUCGAACGAAGUCUUCGGACUUAGUGGCGGACGGGUGAGUAACACGUGGGAGCGUACCUUUUGGUUCGGAACAACUCAGGGAAACUUGAGCUAAUACCGGAUGAGCCCUUAGGGGGAAAGAUUUAUCGCCGAAAGAGCGGCCCGCGUUAGAUUAGCUAGUUGGUGAGGUAAAGGCUCACCAAGGCUACGAUCUAUAGCUGGUCUGAGAGGAUGAUCAGCCACACUGGGACUGAGACACGGCCCAGACUCCUACGGGAGGCAGCAGUGGGGAAUCUUGCGCAAUGGGCGAAAGCCUGACGCAGCCAUGCCGCGUGAAUGAUGAAGGUCUUAGGAUUGUAAAAUUCUUUUCCCAGGGACGAUAAUGACGGUACCUGGAGAAAAAGCCCCGGCUAACUUCGUGCCAGCCGCCGCGGUAA